GUAGGUGGCAAGCGUUGUCCGGAAUUAUUGGGCGUAAAGCGCGCGCAGGCGGUUCUUUAAGUCUGAUGUGAAAGCCCACGGGCUCAACCGUGGAGGGUCAUUGGAAACUGGAGAACUUGAGUACAGAAGAGGAAAGCGGAAUUCCACGUGUAGCGGUGAAAUGCGUAGAGAUGUGGAGGAACACCAGUGGCGAAGGCGGCUUUCUGGUCUGUAACUGACGCUGAGGCGCGAAAGCGUGGGGAGCAAACAGGAUUAGAUACCCUGGUAGUCCACGCCGUAAACGAUGAGUGCUAAGUGUUAGGGGGUUUCCGCCCCUUAGUGCUGCAGCUAACGCAUUAAGCACUCCGCCGGGGGAGUACGGCCGCAAAGGCUG
rnacentral:rRNA from 1 species